GACGAACGCUGGCGGCGUGCCUAAUACAUGCAAGUAGAACGCACAGUUUAUACCGUAGCUUGCUACACCAUAAACUGUGAGUUGCGAACGGGUGAGUAACGCGUAGGUAACCUGCCUGGUAGCGGGGGAUAACUAUUGGAAACGAUAGCUAAUACCGCAUAAUAUUAAUUAUUGCAUGAUAAUUGAUUGAAAGAUGCAAUUGCAUCACUACCAGAUGGACCUGCGUUGUAUUAGCUAGUAGGUGAGGUAACGGGUCACCUAGGGGACGAUACAUAGCCGACCUGGGAGGGUGAUCGGCCACACUGGGACUGAGACACGGCCCCGACUCCUACGGGAGGCAGCAGUAGGGAAACUUCGGCAAUGGACGAAAGUCUGACCGAGCAACGCCGCGUGAGUGAAGAAGGUUUUCGGAUCGUAAAGCUCUGUUGUAAGAGAAGAACGGGUGUGAGAGUGGAAAGUUCACACUGUGACGGUAUCUUACCAGAAAGGGACGGCUAACUACGUG
rnacentral:rRNA from 1 species